rnacentral:tRNA from 1 species
GGGUGAUUAGCUCAGUUGGUAGAGCGUCUCGUUUACACCGAGUAGGUCGGGGGUUCGAGUCCCUCAUCACCCA